GACGUAGGUGGCAAGCGUUGUUCGGAAUCACUGGGCAUAAAGCGCACGUAGGCGGCUGCGUAAGUCGGACGUGAAAUACCUCGGCUCAACCGAGGAACGGCGUUUGAUACUGCGCGGCUUGAGGUCCGGAGGGGAGAGUGGAAUUCCCGGUGGAGCGGUGAAAUGCGUAGAGAUCGGGAAGAACGCCGGCGGCGAAAGCGACUCUCUGGUCGGAAUCUGACGCUGAGGUGCGAAAGCUAGGGGAGCAAACGGG
rnacentral:rRNA from 1 species